rnacentral:tRNA from 1 species
GUAGGUAUAGUUUAACCAAAAUAUUAGAUUGUGAUUCUAAAGACAGGGGUUAAAGUCCUCUUACUCACC